rnacentral:lncRNA from 1 species
GAAAAGGUGGAUCUCUGAGCGAUGGCGUGGUGAAGAAGAUCGUGCUAUCGUACACCUACGUUGCCAUAUGGAUCUUCCUGAGCUUCACGGUAAUCGUGUACAACAAGUACAUCUUGGACAAGAAGAUGUACAACUGGCCCUACCCCGUCUCCCUCACCAUGAUCCACAUGUCCUUCUGCGCCACCCUCGCCUUCCUCCUCGUCCGCGUCUUCCGCCUCGUUGAGCCAGUCUCAAUGUCACGCGAUGUCUACCUCUCAUCGGUUGUCCCCAUCGGAGCCCUCUACUCCCUCUCCCUGUGGCUCUCCA